rnacentral:misc_RNA from 1 species
GAUGAAGAACGUAGCGAAAUGCGAUACUUGGUGUGAAUUGCAGAAUCCCGUGAACCAUCGAGUCUUUGAACGCAAGUUGCGCCCGAAGCCAUUAGGUCGAGGGCACGUCUGCCUGGGCGUCACACAACGUUGCCCCCCCAAACCUCGACUUCCAAGAGGACGGGGGGCGGAUGAUGGCCUCCCGUGCGCCUCGUCGCGCGGUUGGCAUAAAUGCCAAGUCCUCGGCGACGCACGCCACGACAAUCGGUGGUUGCGAAACCUCGGUUGCCCGUCGUGUGCGGUCGUCGCGCAUCGAGGGCUCGAAAAAAUUGCCGGGCUCCGGCUCGGCUUUCAACGCGACCCCAGGUCAGGCGGGGUUACCCGCUGAAUUUAAGCAUAUCAAUAAGCGGAGGA